UUGAUGGUCCACUGAUUUUCAGGAGCCUCAGGGUUAACAGAAGUGUAGGUGCAAUAUGCGUCCUGUAGACGGUCAAGGAAGGCAGCCAGCGACUCCUGCGGACCCUGAGUUACAGUCCCUGCUGUGGAGAGGAAGAGAAGUAAAAUGGCCAAGGUCAUAUUUCUAAACUUCUGCAAUUCUGAUGGUUCUUUGAAGAAAAGAUCAGGGUACUACUGAACAUAUAGCAGGAAGUCCUCACCUACUUCAGAGGAAGCAGAUUUCCAGGUGUGUCUUCAAAGACAAAGGAGUUCUGUGGCAGAUUGAAGAAGGGAGAUGCACAGAUGUGUAAAGAACACUCCAGGCUUUAACACACAGAAUAUUAGUUCUGUAAAGGAAGGUUUUGUCUGCUUUGCUCAUUGCUACGUCCUCGACACCUGGAGUUGGAAGCUAGUCUGUGACACCUUAGAGGGAAACCUAAGGUUUUCAAGCUUUUCACUUCUCAUUGGCCUCAGAAAGUAGAAACAUGGUGAAAAAGGUGAAUAGAUGUUUAUUCCUCUAGUUCGUUCACUAACAUUUAAUGCUAAGAUCAUCUAAGGCUUAGGAUACUUUUUGUGUACCUUACCCAGCAUUGCAACACAUACCAACACAUAUGUUCACAUGCACACUCAUGAACUCAAUAGAAAUGACUUAUAAUCUUUUAUUGAACAAUCAAAUCCUCUUUGCAAAGUAACAUGUGUUCCAGGACUGGGAACAAUUCAUAGCACUUAGAUAAUAGUUUCUCAUGAAAUUCAGUUCCUCUAUGUGUGUAUCUACAUGUUACAAUAUUGGAAAGAACACAU
rnacentral:lncRNA from 13 species